GGGGGCAGUAGAGUUCCAAAUGAUGAUUAUUGUUUCUGUAAAAGUUUGAUUCUUGCUUUUAAAAUUGCUUUAAAGUGAUGAUAUAUGCUAUAAUUUAAUUAAAAAUUAAGUUAGCAAUUUAGUGAAUUGUACAAUGAAUGUGAGUUUGAUGCAGUUAAUUUUUGUGAUCUAACUAAUUUUGUGCCAGCAGUUGCGGUUAUACAAUUAGAUCAAGUGAUUUUUUUUUGGAUUGCAUAUAGUCUAUUAUAUGUAAAAGUUUGUUUUAUUAUUAGGUGGAAUUUUAAUGUAAAAUUCAUUUACUGGUGAGUUUUAUGCGAAGGCUUUUUGUUAAACUAGGAUUAGAUACCCUAUUAUUUAAGCUGUAACUGUAUUGGUCCUUAUUAUUAAUAGUUGUCCUUUAAAAUAAAAGAAUUUGGCGGUAAUUUAAUCCUUUCAGAGGAACCUGUCCUUUAAUUGAUAGGCCACGAGGUAUUUUACUUUUACUUUACUUGUAUACCUCUAUGUAGAAUGUCUUAUUAGGGUAUUUUCUUUGAUCAAUUGAUUGAGAGAUUUUAGGUCAAGGUGCAGUUGUGUAGAAGGUGGUGAUGGGUUACAAUUUUUUUAUAAUUGGAUAAAUUCAUGUAAAUUGUUUUGAAAUAGGAUUUGUAAGUAAUUCUUAUUAUGUUCUGAGAGUGAAUUAGGCUCUAAUUUAUGUACACAUCGCCCGUCACUCCCAUCUUUAAGGUGGGAUAAGUCGUAACAAAGUAGGCCUACCGGAAGGUGGGCCUGGUAAGUU
rnacentral:ncRNA from 1 species